ACUGGGACUACUUUUCAGGAGAAUCCUGAAUGGAUUCAAUAUCGAUGAGAAAUCACCUCCUUUGCUGGGUCUGUCACUGGGAAUAUUCGGUGGCGCUUGCAGCUGACCGUGGGUGUUCUUUAGACAGGGUAGUGAAGAUCUGGAACACCCCUUUCCAUGUUGAGGUUGGAAGACAACUGGAUGUUUCAAACCUGAAAUCCAUGGAACAUUGGAGCCGAGAAUGUUAAGUGUACAACACGAAGGUGUUUAUUGGAAGUGUCCAACACAAGCAUUUUUUGCAUGGGAUCCUGUAACAGACUUGCAAUGGAUUUGUUGAUACAUCUGCCUGGUUGAUCUGCUGUGAAAUGGAGUGGAGUCCCAAGCUCGUUCUUCGGUCUCUGCUGAAAUCACUUGGAAUAAAAUUAGUGAUCCCAGACAUUUAAGUUAGCAAGGUUGACAGCUUUAACUCAGGAUGCAUUUGUUUUUCCAUAACCUGUUGUGCGAGGACUGAAAUAAAUCUGUGCAGAGGGAGAAGUGGAUUAAAUCAGAACAAUUUAAUGCAGGAGUGAGCUCUGGGCACUUUGUGAGGGGGUGGGGAGGGACUCAAGAAUGUUUUAUCCUUGAAUGUAUUUUUUUCCUUAGUAAAAGAAAGUGGAAAUUGAUUCUCUCAAAUCUGUUUUGUAAUGAGUGACAAAGUUGGCUUUGUGUCUAUGGCAGCGGAAAUUACAAAAUCUGUCUAGUUCUCUCCGUUUUAACUGGAGCAAUGCUUUACCCCAUUGUUAAUAAAAUUACAGAUGUGAAUUUGCAAUGACUGCAGGGCAGGUUCUGAUCUAAAAACACUUAUGUGAAAACUGUAUGAUCCUGACACAGAGCAAAAGGCAUUUUCCCCUUGUUUGCAGUUUCCCCAUGUUCUCUGAGGCUGUGAUAUAGGAGAUUGGAAUCACGGUAGUUAGUGUAAUUAAUAUGCGCCUGUGGAUUUUAACAAUCAAUAUAGAAAAUCCACAGAGUUCACUAAUUUAAUACUUUAUAAGAAAAUAAGGAACAGGAAGAGACAGUUUGAACCCUUGAGCUUGUUUCUUUAUUUAAAUCCCUUAGUACCCAAAAACCUAUUGACUUCUCUUGACUCAAUGACUACUCAACGCCUGAGUAUCUACAGCUCUCUAGGGUAGAGCAUUCCAAAAAUUCACAGCCCUUUGAGUAAAGAUAUUUCUCUUUAUCUCAUUCCUAAAUAGCUAACUCAUUAUCCUGAGAUUUUCAAGCAUGUGUACUGAGUUGGGACAGUCUACUUAUAUAUCAGCCUUGAGGGAAAUGUAUUCAGCUUUGGUCAUCUGAACUUGUAGUUUUGUCAU